rnacentral:tRNA from 1 species
GCACCCUUAGCUCAGUUGGAUAGAGCAGUUGCUUCCGGAGCAAAAGGUCGGGGGUUCGAGUCCUCUAGGGUGUGCCA